CCAAGGAGUUUAGCGUGUGCGCGAGUCAUUGAGUGUUAAAACUCAAAGGCGAAAUGAAAGUGAAGGGAACUUUACGUUUCUGAGGGAAGAUGAGUUGGUUCCUUAAUCGGGCCGCUCCGCACUCCCGGGGCGUCUCUAUCUCAUUGCGAGAGGAGGCGCACUCAGAGCGUACACGCUGAUACCCGAAAGAUGGUGAACUAUGCCUGGCCAGGACGAAGCCAGGGGAAACCCUGGUGGAGGUCCGCAGCGAUUCUGACGUGCAAAUCGAUCGUCGGAGCUGGGUUUAGGGGCGAAAGACCAAUCGAACCAUCUAGUAGCUGGUUCCCUCUGAAGUUUCCCUCAGGAUAGCUUGCGCUCGGACGAGACGAGUCUCAUCCGGUAGAGCGAAUGAUUAGAGGCCUUGGGGUCGAAACGACCUCAACCUAUUCUCAAACUCCAAAUAGAUGAGAACCCUGGCUUUCUUAAAUUAUGAAGCCAAGGGGUUUCGGAUCAGAGUGCCAAGUGGGCCAAUUUU
rnacentral:rRNA from 1 species